rnacentral:lncRNA from 12 species
CUUAUUUUUCCCCCUUCAAGUAGCUACCAUAAAAAACAUUCAUUGUAUGAUUGUACAUUUUACGACUAAUACAAAGUAUCUUCAACCCAUAUGAUAGGCUGUUAAGGUGUUUACUUCUGAUCUUUUUUUUCAGUGUCACUAUUCAGAAAAACUUUAGAACAACAUUGUAUAUAUAUUUUGAAGAUGGUCAGGAAUCCAGCAAUCCUUUGAUCUUCACAGCUAUACCUUACAAUGACUCCUUUGACUUGUCCUUGGGAUCUGCAUUGGACACUACAGGAUUCAAAGCCAUGGUUCUCACACCACUUGUAUCAGAAUCAGCUGGAUUCCUGGGCCUCAACUCACACUCACUGAAUCAUCCGUUGGUAAGGCCAAGACAUUUGAACUUCUACAGACAAGUUAUAUAGCUAUAUGUAUGC